UAUACACCUGUUGCUUUGGCGGGCCCACCGGGGCCACCUGGUCGCCGGGGGACAUCUGUCCCCGGGCCCGCGCCCGCCGAAGCGCUCUGUGAACCCUGAUGAAGAUGGGCUGUCUGAGUACUAUGAAAAUUGUCAAAACUUUCAACAAUGGAUCUCUUGGUUCCGGCAUCGAUGAAGAACGCAGCGAAAUGCGAUAAGUAAUGUGAAUUGCAGAAUUCCGUGAAUCAUCGAAUCUUUGAACGCACAUUGCGCCCCCUGGCAUUCCGGGGGGCAUGCCUGUCCGAGCGUCAUUUCUGCCCUCAAGCACGGCUUGUGUGUUGGGUGCGGUCCCCCCGGGGACCUGCCCGAAAGGCAGCGGCGACGUCCGUCUGGUCCUCGAGCGUAUGGGGCUUUGUCACUCGCUCGGGAAGGACUGGCGGGGGUUGGUCACCACCAAAAUUUUACCACGGUUGACCUCGGAUCAGGUAGGAGUUACCCGCUGAACUUAA
rnacentral:rRNA from 1 species